GAGAAUGGUGUGAACCUGGGAGGUGGAGCUUGCAGUGAACAGAGGUUGUGCCACUGCACUCCAGCCUGGGUGACAGAGCGAGACUCCCUCUUAAAAUAAUAAUAACAAUAAUAAUAAUAAUAAUAAUGCCAAUUCAAUGGAUUCUAUCAUUAGUUUCCUACAAGAAAAAUGCCCCCAAGAAAAAGGGCUGAAAAUAUGUCUAUUUAUAUCAGGUAGAUUACACAGAUUAUGUUAUAAAAAUGGAGCAGAAAUGAGUUCAUUGCCAAAUGCUUAUCAUUCUCAUAUUAUGCCAAGAACAUAUUGAUUAUAGUCUAGUGUUAGGCUGAUGGCCUAUCAAAGUUUCUAGUAUAAUUCGAACCCUAGUCUGUGACUUAUCUUCCAUAAACCCAAAUUCCUUUUGUCUUUGCUAGAUUUUAUAAACAUAAUUUAGCCAUGAUAUUCUUUGUCUUUGUAAAUGGACACCAUGCAAAGUCCCAAAACUUCUCAAAUAUCUUAAACUGAAAUAAUGAAUGUACACAUUAUUAUUGUUCAUUAUUAUUGUUGUUUUUGUUACUAUUUCUUUUUCUCUUUUUUUAAAUUAAUUAAAUUUUUUUUUUUUUUUGAGAUCGAGUCUCACUCUGUUGUCCAGGCUGGAGUGCAAUGACGCAAUCUUGGCUCACUGCAACCUCUGCCUCGCAGGUUCAGGCGAUUCCUCUGCCUCAGCCUCCUGAGUAGCUGGGAUUACAGGUGCGCACCCAUGCCUGGCUAAUUUUUGUACUUUUAGUAGAGACGGGGUUUUACCGUGUUGGUCAGGCUGGUCUCAAACUCCUGACCUCGUGACCUUCCCGCCUCGGCCUCCCAAAGUGCUGGGAUUACAGGUGUAAGCCACUGCACCCAGCCUACUAUUACUAUUUCUAAGCAGCCUCCUAUAUGAUGUUAAGCUGUGUCCAAAUAGCUUAAUUAUCAAGGCUAAGAACAGAGACAAACUUUUGUUUCCAAACAUUUAUUGAUCAAGAAUAAAGUACUUUAAACAAAUAAAUAGCUUGCCUGCAAAAUAACUUACCUGAACAAACAGUUUGCUCACUGGGGCAAACAACUUACUUUCCACAGAAUAGUUUACUUACAAAGAUUUUUUUUCAGGUCCACCAAUCAAACAAUGAUAUUAUAAAUGCUGCCCAGUUAUAAUCAAUUUCUCUCUUCUAAAGACUUGCCUUAAAUCCCUGAAACUCAGAUACGAAACUCUCUCUAUAUAUCAUCUCCUUAACCUUCUAAGAAAGAGGUUCCCAACCUUUGUGACGCCAGGGACCGGUUUCAUGGAAGACAAUUUUUCCACAGAUUGGGGGUUGGAGGAGAUGGUUUGGGGAUGAAACUGUCCCACUUCAGAUCAUCAAACAUUAAAUUCUCAUAAGGAGCACACAACCUAGAUCCCUUGCGUGCAGUUUACAAUAGGGUUCUCCCUCCUAUGAGAAUCUAAUGCUGCCGCUGAUCUGACAGGAGGUGGAGCUCAGGUGGUAUUGCUAACUCGCCUGCUGCUCACCUCCUGCCAUGCAGCCCAAUUCCAAACAGGUACUGGUCUGUGGCCCAGGGGUUGGGGACCCCUAUUCUUAAACAUUAAGACUCUGUCAAGGUAGUUUUCUUACCUAGACCUAGCUUUGAUUCAUCAACGGUUUUUCUGGUGGUCUUUUUGUCUUUUUGGGGAGUUGAGUCAUCAAAUUUUAACAAGUUAAUUACUUCUCUGUAUCUCAGUUACAGUAUUUGUAAACAAGAGCCAUGAUAUUAUUUGUUUGAUGAAAUAAUUUAAGUAACAUGACUUAUGACAGUUUCCAGAACACAAUGAAUGUUUAGUAAAUGUGGAUUAUUAUUAACAGAAAGCAUUAAGAACUUCCUUGUUGUUCUUAGAAAUAAACACACAGUAAUCCCAGCACUUUGGGGGGCCGAGUUGGGUGGAUCACUUGA
rnacentral:lncRNA from 1 species